UUCCCUCAAACUCUAUAUAAUUUUACAUCUUCCCCACAACCGAAGCUUAUCAUGAAAAAAAUUGUACGGUCCUAGUUUGGGAAAAGCUACAAAAAAUGGUCUUAUUGAAACAAACAAGUUGAAAAUAACUAAAAACAAGAAAGAAUCAUGAACAUAAAAAUGCAAGAAAUAAAAAUACGAUAAAAAUAAAGGAAAGUGCAAGAAAAUAAAUAAAUACCCCUCAAACUUGAACAGAACAUUGUCCUCAAUGUUUUAGCGCAAGAAAGAGAGAGUAG
rnacentral:lncRNA from 1 species